UGGAUUUCCCUUUUCAGGUUUUUAAUCCACCCAGACGCUCAUAUUUGCCUAAGCCGCCUUUUCGGGUCCUUAACUUAGCGAGUUGUUCGUGUUUCUUUUUUUUAUUUUUUAUUUUAGGCGAAGUAUUUCUUGACUGCAUCUGCGUUCACAGGACGAGUGAACUUUUCACCAUCCAUAGUUGUAAGAAUCAAAGCACUGCCUGAAAAGGCUCUCUUGAC
rnacentral:lncRNA from 1 species